rnacentral:rRNA from 1 species
UACGUAGGGGGCGAGCGUUAUCCGGAUUUACUGGGCGUAAAGCGCGUUAAGGCGGCCGGCAAAGUUGGUUGUGAAAUUUCGGGGCUCAACCCCGAAACUGCGUCCAAUACUGGUCGGCUGGAGUGUGAGAGAGGAAGGUGGAAUUCCUGGUGUAGCGGUGAAAUGCGCAGAUAUCAGGAGGAACACCGGUGGCGAAGGCGGGUCUCUGGGCCGAUACUUACGCUGAGGAGCGAAAGCGUGGGGAGCGAACAGG